UCCCCUGUCCUCUAAUGGUAAGAGAGCGGACUCUGACUCCGUCAAUCGAGGUUCGAGUCCUCGCGGGGGAUCCA
rnacentral:tRNA from 2 species